CAGCUAUGAGUCUCUGCACCUGUAAGUGGUUACAUCAAAAUGGUAGUCAACUCAUUGUAACUGUAACACUCAAAGCAUCAUCUGCCACUAGAAAAGAGGGGCACAUGAAGUGAAUAUAGGAGUUAAAUCAACCACAGGCGUACACUCUGCCACUGAUGUAUCUAAAGUUUCUUGCUUCUUGCCAGCAUCUUCUCCUUGCAUGGGUCCACAAUCCUCAUCUUUGUAACAUUCGUUUAUCGUUGCAGUCCCAAUUAGCCCGUAACCAUCUCGAUGUGUUGGAAAGGAACUUAAUGAGUCAUCCAUUGCAGGUACAAGAGCUUUGUCAUCAAACUCAGAGACUUCAUCAAAGCCAUGCGGUCGCAAUGAGUUAGAUUUGGUUCUUGAAUUCCCUGAAACACAUGGAUUUUGAUAAUUGCUGGAUUCCA